UGUGCUCACUCCCAGGACUCGUGCAAGUGCAGGAAGGACACAUCGGGUGGGAGGCACCUGGUUCAUGUUGCAAACUAAUCUCAGCUCAAGUUCAGCAGUUCAGAAGGCGGAAGGGAAGAAAGCGGGCAUUAGCUAAACUCCUCUUGGUUCCUGGCAUGGAUAUGUUUCCCACACAAUGCCAAGCAUGCUUCUUGAGACCCUUAUGAAGAGUUUCUUCCCCUCGGUCUGCAGAUAAGAACACAGAGGACCCGAGGUGAAGGGGACUUGUUCAAGGACCAGAUUUAUUGCUCAUGGGUAUCAGAAUCAGCUCAUUUUGACACCAAACCCUGGCAUCUACAGAUUGCAAAUGAGGGGGGAUCACAGAAGAACACCUUGGGUGCGUCAAUGGGAUGUCCAGGUAGUCCUGAGAUGCUGCUGCUAAUGGUGAUCUGCCAUCCAUACCUGGUCUCCACCACCACCUGUUGCCUGUGAAUCUAGUCCUGCUGCCCAGUCCUAAACAUUCAACUGCUUGUGGACUGCCAACUCUGCUGCUCCAUCCCCUCCCUCAUGUCUGG